CCUACGAGAGGCAGCAGUGGGGAAUAUUGCACAAUGGGCGAAAGCCUGAUGCAGCAACGCCGCGUGAGCGAUGAAGGCCUUCGGGUCGGAAAGCUCUGUCCUCAAGGAAGAUAAUGACGGUACUUGAGGAGGAAGCACCGGCUAACUACGUGCCAGCAGCCGCGGGAAUACGUAGGGGGCUAGCGUUAUCCGGAAUUACUGGGCGGAAAGGGUGCGUAGGUGGUUUCUUAAGUCAGAGGUAAAAGGCUACGGCUCAACCGUAGUAAGCCUUUGAAACUGGGGAACUUGAGUGCAGGAGAGGAGAGUGGAAUGCCUAGUGUAGCGGUGAAAUGCGUAGAUAUUAGGAGGAACACCAGUUGCGAAGGCGGCUCUCUGGACUGUAACUGACACUGAGGCACGAAAGCGUGGGGAGCAAACAGGAUUAGAUACCCCGGUAGUC
rnacentral:rRNA from 1 species